UACGUAGGGGGCGAGCGUUAUCCGGAUUCAUUGGGUGUAAAGCGUGUGUAGGCGGUUUCUUAAGUCAGUAGUCUAAGCCUGGAGCUCAACUCCAGUUCGCUACUGAAACUGAGUUACUUGAGUAUGGUAGAGGCAAGUGGAAUUUCUAGUGUAGCGGUGGAAUGCGUAGAUAUUAGAAGGAACACCAGUGGCGAAGGCGGCUUGCUGGGCCAUCACUGACGCUGAGACACGAAAGCGUGGGGAGCAAAUAGG
rnacentral:rRNA from 1 species